rnacentral:misc_RNA from 1 species
CAAGAGUAUUUCAGUUUUGGCUUUAUGCCCCUCUGAAAAAUCUAUCCACCCUUUGUUUAACAUUACCUUUGUUGUUGCCUCGGUGGGUGGCUUUAUAGCACCUGCCGGCAGACACCUUCAAAAAAACCCUUGAUUUAAUACUAUAGUCAGAGCUGUAACAAGCAAAAGAGUUAAUAAAUCA